rnacentral:tRNA from 1 species
AACGUAGCUCAGCGGUAGAGCAGCCGAUUCGUAAUCGGCAGGUCGUCGGUUCAAUUCCGACCGUUG